UCCGAGUUGACCCCGGCAGUCUCUUAUGAGUCCCCACCAUAACGUGCUGGCAACAUAAGACGAGGGUUGCGCUCGUUGCGGGACUUAACCCAACACCUCACGGCACGAGCUGACGACAGCCAUGCAGCACCUGUGCAAGCUCCCUUGCGGGUCCCUUCCCUUUCAGGUCAGUACCACUUGCAUGUCAAGCCCAGGUAAGGUUCUUCGCGUUGCAUCGAAUUAAUCCACAUGCCCCGCCGCUUGUGCGGGCCCCCGUCAAUUCCUUUGAGUUUCACCCUUGCGGGCGUACUCCCCAGGUGGAUGACUUAACGCUUUCGCUAAGACGCUGACAGUAUAUCGCCAACAUCGAGUCAUCAUCGUUUACGGCGUGGACUAC
rnacentral:misc_RNA from 1 species